rnacentral:lncRNA from 1 species
GCUGUAUGAAGUUGUUUUUGGAAGCCAAGCACAAAAAAACACAAAACUUGGGAUGGUGAUGGCACAUUGCUUGUCAAUGUGGAAAAAAAACACAGCAACUUUGAAAGACAGUAAUGGUAAAGUCCUAGGCCAAAUAAGCAAAUUCAAACUUGAUGAGUUGGAAAGUGGUAAUUUCUUGAACAUCGGUGGUAAGGUCGUUGAUGUCCUUGGUCCUCUGAGUGAAAAUAUAUGUCAGCCUGUAAAGCAGAAUCCGUCCAAAAGGAGCGCUGGAAAUCUGUAUAAUCCUCCUCUCUCAAAGAAACCCUGUCAAGUCCAAUCGUCAAGGAUGACAAGUCUGGUCAAGCCAAAACAGAGGCUCAAUGACCAUGGAACAUCUGAAACAGAAGAAUUAUUUGCCGGUGAGACAAUAAUCCUACACUUCAAUAUUUUAAAUUGUUUUUCUACAUUUAUGAUCAAAUCAAUCACGGGAGCUCAACAAGCUAAAAGGAGGGGGGGGGCAUUUAAGUGCAGUCUUCAUUUUUAAAAUUCAGACUCCUGUGCGACUCAAUUUUUUAUUUUUCACCAAAGAUCAUUUUCUUGCUGUUCAUCUCUUCAGUCAUUCUCUCAUUCAAUUUAAAUAAGAUCAUUUAGUUGAAACGGCUCAAAAAUUUCCUUGUUGAACUUCUAAAUUUUUGAAGCAAAAACAUCUGUUACAGCAAGUAAUUUGUUCAAAUUCAUUAACUUUUUGGAGCAUUGUAAAAUCUCUCGUUAAAAGAAACAGUAUCAACCUUGCUCAGGAUGUUACUUUUAUACCUUCAUUGCGCAUUGUUUUCUAUAUAUAUUUGGGGGGGGGGGGGGGGGGGGGGUUUAACCCCUUUUAUAAUGAAGCCUUUACUUUUUGCAUGCAACCUAAGUGCAGAAACCAUUAAUUUUUUCUCCGCUUCACAGGAUCAUCUGUGUCAUCAACAACAGGGAACAAUAUUUGCUCUAAGCAAAAAAUGUUUGCUAAGCAGCCUAACCCAGCUUUCUUGGAUAGUGACUUCGAAAAUGAUGCGGAAAAUUGUAAUUCGACCAACAUCAAUUCGUCCAGCAGUUAUCACCAUCAAGAAUCAAGCAAAACAGCCAAUAAUACAAGAAUUUAUGAAGUUGUCUUUGGACGACCAAGCACAAAAAAGCACAAAACCUGGGAUGGUGAUGGAACGCUGCUGAUCGACCUAGACGAGAAACUAGCAACUUUGAAGGAUGAUAAAGGCAAAAUCCUAGGGACCAAAGCAAAUUUCAAGAUGGAGAUGUUGGAAGAGGAAGAAUAUUUAAGUAUUGGAGGGAAAGUCGUUGAUGUUUUGGGUCCGAUAAACAGUGUUUCAUCCUCCAAAACUCAAAAUCUGCACAAAUCAUCCGAAGCUACCUUACCAAAAAUAAAUCCAAUGACCAGGAAACACUUCAAGCCUCCCAGUUCCUUUGAACCUCCAGAGACGGUUAAAACAGAAGUAAAGCCUCUUAAUACAGAAAUUGUGAACAGUGCUCCAAAGCAAAGCCUUUCACAACUUUCAAAGGCUCUUGUGUGGAACCCUCAUCAGAUGGAAUCUAUCAACUCCAUCCAAUCCUCUAAUUUCUUGUGCACCCUGUAAGCAAAUUUCUGAAGUAUUUUCCAACUUUAAAGACAUUUUCAUCAUGUAACAUAUAGAAACUUUUAUCAUAUUUCCAAAAUCUUCAUAGAGCAGGCUCAACUGGGGGCUCUUCUAUAGGACAGGUACAAAAAUCAUAGAUGUUGGCCCAGUAGAACGGCAGACUGCAGUGUGACAAAAAAUGAAAAUUUAGGGGGUCAGAGAGCUCAUAGUAAUGAUGAGCAGUAAAGAUUCUGGAACAGUGUAACUGAUAGUGACAACUGAAAGUUCUGCACCCAAUGCUUCAAUUUUAGUCGUAGGAAAAUAAACUUAUUCUGCCGGAUCCUUUUACCUCAUUGGUUAAAAGUAGCAAAACAUA